rnacentral:rRNA from 1 species
UACGGAGGGGGCUAGCGUUGUUCGGAAUUACUGGGCGUAAAGGGCUCGUAGGCGGCCAACUAAGUCGGAUGUGAAAUCCCCAGGCUUAACCUGGGAAUUACAUCCGAUACUGGAUGGCUUGAAUCCGGGAGAGGGAUGCGGAAUUCCAGGUGUAGCGGUGAAAUGCGUAGAUAUCUGGAGGAACACCGGUGGCGAAGGCGGCAUCCUGGACCGGCAUUGACGCUGAGGAGCGAAAGCCAGGGGAGCAAACGGG